rnacentral:rRNA from 1 species
UUCGGCAGCCAUAUCACCCUGUAGCCCAAGACUGGUUGCCCACUGAAGCUAAGCAGGGCUGAGCCUGGUCAGUACCUGGAUUUCCCCGCAU